CCUACGGGCGGCAGCAGUGGGGAAUAUUGGGCAAUGGGCGCAAGCCUGACCCAGCAACGCCGCGUGAAGGAAGAAGGCUUUCGGGUUGUAAACUUCUUUUGUCAGGGAAGAGUAGAAGACGGUACCUGACGAAUAAGCCACGGCUAACUACGUGCCAGCAGCCGCGGUAAUACGUAGGUGGCAAGCGUUGUCCGGAUUUACUGGGUGUAAAGGGCGUGUAGCCGGGUUGACAAGUCAGAUGUGAAAUCCUGCGGCUUAACCGCAGAACUGCAUUUGAAACUGUUUUUCUUGAGUACUGGAGAGGCAGACGGAAUUCCUAGUGUAGCGGUGAAAUGCGUAGAUAUUAGGAGGAACACCAGUGGCGAAGGCGGUCUGCUGGACAGCAACUGACGCUGAGGCGCGAAAGCGUGGGGAGCAAACAGGAUUAGAUACCCCAGUAGUC
rnacentral:rRNA from 1 species